rnacentral:rRNA from 1 species
UACGAAGGGGGCUAGCGUUGCUCGGAAUCACUGGGCGUAAAGCGCACGUAGGCGGGUCCUUAAGUCGGGGGUGAAAUCCUGGAGCUCAACUCCAGAACUGCCUUCGAUACUGAGGAUCUCGAGUCCGGGAGAGGUGAGUGAAACUCCGAGUGUAGAGGUGAAAUUCGUAGAUAUUCGGAAGAACACCAGUGGCGAAGGCGGCUCACUGGCCCGGUACUGACGCUGAGGUGCGAAAGCGUGGGGAGCAAACAGG